UACAGAGACUGCAAGCGUUAUUCGGAUUCACUGGGCGUAAAAGGUGCGCAGGCGGCCGAGUGUGUGAGGCGUGAAAGCCCGGGGCUUAACCCCGGAAUUGCACCUCAAACUACACGGCUAGAGCAUUGGAGAGGUAGCAGAAUUCAUGGUGUAGCAGUGAAAUGCGUAGAUAUCAUGAGGAAUACCAGAGGCGAAGGCGGCUACCUGGACAAUUGCUGACGCUCAGGCACGAAAGCGUGGGGAGCAAACAGG
rnacentral:rRNA from 1 species